rnacentral:lncRNA from 1 species
CUGUGCUCUUGGGACAGUCCCUGGACACAUCUGGAGGCUGUGGCUUCCUGUUCUAUGAGGCUCACAGAUGAGUUCUGCUUCCUGGGGGAAGAUCCCACACCACGCCCGCCGGACUCCAAGCCCGGUCCUGUUCCGACUCUGCCGCGUCGGCACCCGCAGCUCACUCCCUGAAUGGCCGUGCGGAGCUCCAUGUGUGAGCACACUUUUACCUGGCUGACUUGCACAGGAUCGCUGUCACGAUGAGGUUGGGAGUCCCCUUCGAGGAGCGUCUGUUGUGUUCUGAAUUCCUUCUUGGUGCACGCCCAGCCACGGAGCUGCGGGAGAGGUGUGUCUUUGGCACAGGGAUUCUGCUGUCACUCCCUGUGUGGGUUCCUGUGCGUGUCGACAGAGAAGGAAGGACCUGGACGGGAGCAGUGGGGAGGAAAAGCAAACCGACUGACACAGACAAGGCAGAGAGGACUCGGCACCCAGAGGGGCUCCUAAGGAGGAGGCCGUCACCCUUACAGGUCGCUAGCUAGAGCCUUUUGGUCUAGUUGAAUGGAAAGCUCCUUCUGAUUGGCUGGCUGAAAUGUCAGUCCUGAAAGUAAGGCGUCAGCCAAUCGUCAGGCCCCUUAGCUGUUGUCAGCCAGCCGGUCUUGGCCAGGGCUCUGGCUGUGAACCAGGCGCUGUCUGCGGUUCUGCAGGCCGUGUCCUCUAACGUUCCGAGAACAAAGCCUUCGCAGGCACCGGGAGCUUUUUAGAAAACCAGGCUUGCACGUGGGGGAGGGCGCGCACGCCUGACAGUAGCUCUGUCUCUCUCCGUGCGCUGUUGGGUGUUGCUUUUAAUCCACUCAGUCUGCAUCUUUCCCUUGGCUAAGCUAGUCCUUUUCCACUCAAGGUUACUAUUGAGAAAAAGCCACUUGAAGUCACCUCGUGUUUGCUGAGCCCUUCUCAGCGAGAACCUUCUGGGCUCCUCUCCAGCUCUGCCCCUCCAUCUCCAGACUCUUGCCCUCCCCGGGUAACCACCGUGCCCACCCUCCCCCCACCAGACCAUGGAAAGGCAGCGUCUUCAUUCUGUUUGUCGCGAGCUUCCUGCUGG